GUGCGGUGACAAAAAUAAGGUUUUUUGAAUGUUGGCUUUGCCAAUGGCGUCAAGGCGUGAGUAAAUCACUUGAGUGAUUUAUGCAUAAUGUUAAUCAAAUUUUUAUGAG
rnacentral:ncRNA from 1 species